UGAGGAAUAUUGGGCAAUGCCCGAAAAAGUGACCCAGCAACGCCGCGUGGAGGAUGAAGGUCGUAAGAUUGUAAACUCCUGUUAGAGGGGAAGAAUAACUAAGUUUGGAGCUUAGUAUGACUGUACCCUCAGAGAAAGCCCCGGCUAACUACGUGCCAGCAGCCGCGGUAAUACGUAGGGGGCAAGCGUUGUCCGGAUUUACUGGGCGUAAAGCGCACGCAGGCGGCUCUGUUAGUCGGACGUGAAAGCUCUCGGCUUAACCGGGAGAGGCCGUUCGAUACUGCGGGGCUUGAGGUAGGGAGAGGAAUGCGGAAUUCCCGGUGUAGUGGUGGAAUGCGUAGGUAUCGGGAGGAACACCUGUGGCGAAAGCGGCAUUCUGGCCCUCACCUGACGCUGAGGUGCGAAAGCGUGGGUAGCAAACA
rnacentral:rRNA from 1 species